UUUAGAUAUUAUUUUAGUUGAUGGUUAUUGGGUCAAGUUUGUAUUUUCUUAAUUAUUGAGACUUAUGUACCAAAAUAAAACUUAAGUAGGGAGUGUUUGAAAUUAACUUUAAUAAUAAUAAGUUUGGGGAAAGCAGGGUACGACAGUUAGCAACUAUUUUUCCUCUUCUGCCGUUUCAAAGAGAACCUCUCGAUUAAGCUUCAGGUACCGAUUCGACGACCUCUGGCCAUUGAUUCCUGUGGCUCUUUUCGUGUUAGCAUCUUUGGAGAUUUGAGGUAGCUACUAUUAGUUUCUGUGACUGUUGAAAUCUUCUCCAGCCUUAUCUUUAUGCAUUUUUCGCAUUUUGAGAUAUUCAGACUUUUCUUUGAUUUUUGUAUUUAGUGGCUUGUAUUAGUGACUACCAGACAUGGAAUUAUCUAUGUUUUGACUAUACUAGUUUAUUAAUCUACUUUUGAGAUUAUUUGGA